AAAUGACCACAACAAGUAACAACUGGAUCAGUAGCCAAAUCCAGACAAAUAUUACAAUCAAAGAAGCUCCCAUCACUAUCACUUCCAUUCUCAACAUCAUCCUUUUUCUCUGACACUUCAUCUUCCAAAAAUCCAUUGUUAUUUUCACAGGUUUUAGGCACCUCAUUUAUUCUUUCUUCAGCAGUAACACUACCCUCACCAGCUUGUAAAGUGCUCACACUGUCAGAAUUUCCUAGUAAUUGGUUCAAUUCUACAGAAAGGGGAUGCGUUUCACGAGGAAUUUGAAGCUGACGCCAUCUCCAGCGCUGUUGAGCCCUAUUAAUUCUAACAGCCUCCCUAAUUCUCUCCAAAGGGUCAUCAAUCCACUCUUCCAAAUUCACUGAUUCACUUGGUACAGAUACUGACCGUGCCUCAGGACCAGGCCCCAAAUUCAAAUCAAGAUUCAUAGUGUCAGAAGUCUCAUCACCCAUUGCAAAUUGAAUAAUCCCAGAUCCAAAACCCUUAUACUGCAAUUUACGGCCUCGAUGAUCAGCUUCAGACUCGUGCAAGACUCGGAGUCGAGCUAUCUCCGAGUUGACUCGCCAUGCCUUAUUCUCUCCUUUGAAUAGCAAUCUCGUCUAUCCAGGAAGGAGAGAGAGGAAAGAGGAGUGUGAAUUCAGAAUUCUGAAAUGAA
rnacentral:misc_RNA from 1 species